rnacentral:rRNA from 1 species
AUGAACGCUGGCGGCGUGCCUAAUACAUGCCAGUCGAGCGCACAGACGAGGAGCUUGCUCCUCUGACGUUAGCGGCGGACGGGUGAGUAACACGUGGAUAACCUACCUAUAAGACUGGGAUAACUUCGGGAAACCGGAGCUAAUACCGGAUAAUAUAUUGAACCGCAUGGUUCAAUAGUGAAAGACGGUUUUGCUGUCACUUAUAGAUGGAUCCGCGCCGCAUUAGCUAGUUGGUAAGGUAACGGCUUACCAAGGCAACGAUGCGUAGCCGACCUGAGAGGGUGAUCGGCCACACUGGAACUGAGACACGGUCCAGACUCCUACGGGAGGCAGCAGUAGGGAAUCUUCCGCAAUGGGCGAAAGCCUGACGGAGCAACGCCGCGUGAGUGAUGAAGGUCUUCGGAUCGUAAAACUCUGUUAUUAGGGAAGAACAAAUGUGUAAGUAACUAUGCACGUCUUGACGGUACCUAAUCAGACAGCCACGGCUAACUACGUG